rnacentral:rRNA from 1 species
AGUGAACGCUGGCGGUAGGCCUAACACAUGCAAGUCGAACGGCAGCACAGUAAGAGCUUGCUCUUACGGGUGGCGAGUGGCGGACGGGUGAGGAAUACAUCGGAAUCUUCUUUUUCGGGGGGGAUAACGUAGGGAAACUUACGCUAAUACCGCAUACGAUCUACGGGUGAAAGCAGGGGAUCUUCGGACCUUGCGGGAUUGAAUGAGCCGAUGUCGGAUUAGCUAGUUGGGGGGGUAAAGGCCCACCAAGGCGACGAUCCGUAGCUGGUCUGAGAGGAUGAUCGGCCACACUGGAACUGAGACACGGUCCAGACUCCUACGGGAGGCAGCAGUGGGGAAUAUUGGGCAAUGGGCGCAAGCCUGAUCCAGCCAUGCCGCGUGGGUGAAGAAGGCCUUCGGGUUGUAAAGCCCUUUUGUUGGGAAAGAAAAGCAGCAGGUUAAUACCCCGCUGUUCUGACGGUACCCAAUGAAUAAGCACCGGCUAACUACGUG